UACGAUGGCUCUGAUUGAUUCUGAAUCAAAAUCUAAGCGGUCAAAUACUAAUCUCAAUCUCGCAAGAUUCUCUUUAGCUCAUGUCAACUUAAAUCAUAUAUUAUGUUUGUUUCAGGUGGCAUCACAUAUUGUGUUACAUUUGUUUGUAAAUGAUAACUAUACACUAACGAUCCUGGAUUUUUAUGUGUGUUUUAUGUUGUAUUUUUGAUAUAUAAAACUUCAUAAUAUUUGUUUUUAAAAUAACAUGAAUAUUAAUAAAUAGCUUUUAGGAUAUAUUGAUUGUGGGUUUCGGGUGAGGACCGUUUACAACUACUAUUACCCGGAUAGAUGAAUAAUUACACUAUGAGUAUGCUUGAGUCUUGGAAAUGUCUUGAAGCAUCAUACUAUAAAUGCAUAGUAUAAAUGUUGAAUUGAUUACUUAAUAUUUUAGAUUUUGCUCUAAAAAGCAUACCUUUUGUUUACUAAUACGAUUAACAAUUUAACUAAUAAAUAUUAUUUCAUGAAAAUAUUUACUAGUCUUAUAGAGUAUUAUAGUGAACUUCUUAUAAUUUCAACUUUUCAUUUCAAAUCAUUAUUUUAAUAUGUCUAUAACUAGGUAAAAAGCCAAACUAAAGGUGAUAUAAUAUAAUAGCAUUGUAUGUUGUAACAUUUUCUCGUAACUUUAUUUUAGUGGGGAUACAAAUGAUAUAAAAAGGCACUAUGAACUAUGGAGAUGUUACAUCCAUUCUCAAUCAUCAUCUAAACUAUACUAAAAGCUAAAUAUAAAGCCCUCUGAAGCAUGCCACGUCGGAUGGAAAAAUCGUCCAGUAGUAAUGCAGCAAAUAGCCACGUCAUCGGCGUGUUAAGUUGGUUUGGGCUUCGUGUUUUAUUAGGGCUUCUUCUCUUACUUUUAGCCAACCCUUCUCUGACGCUAAAGCCUCCUCCUCCAAUGAAUCUCCUGUAACGCCUUCUUACUCCAUUGAUUUGCCCCUUAAAUCCGUUCAUUUACUAGCUUCAUCCCACUCCUCCCACUCUAUAGCAUGUAACCGACCUCACCAUCUUCAUAUGUAACCGGCCGCCAUUACCAGGAAAGCUAUCAAAGAGAUGAAAAUCUUCAGAAAAGUACACCUAGCUUCUCGGCCCAAUGACGAGCUCCAACAACAAGAAGAACACACAAGCGAAUGAUUUUGAAGAUAUCAGUGAGAUUAUUAAAGCACUAAACAUCUCGACGGAUGACUUUGCUAUUAGAACGACCAGAUUCUGGAAAAUCAACUUUGCUCCUGGUUCUAGCAGAUAAAAGUUUAAAGGUUAGUUAACCCAUGAAGUUAUUUAAUAUGCUCUAAUAUUCACAUGAAUCGUAUGUUUGAUAUCUUUUUUUAAUUUAAUGGUCACAUGUGUAUUAAAAGGUUUUAUUUUUCAGAUAAAAUUAGCCUUUUGAUUUUUACAUAAAACGUUUGUGAGAAGUGAGAAUCUUCUAUAUAAAGUUUAGUUGCAGAUUAUAGGAUCUUAGUUACUCCGAAAAGCCACACAGAGGAUCUUAGCAAACCUUAGUUCUCUGCAGUACUGAACACUUUUUCCGACUCCCUGAUGCCCCCCCCCCUCUUGCCAUACGCUUCAAUAAUGCUACCUGGUAUGUUUUUAUGAUUUUAGGAGUUAGUUGGUUUCUGUUAUAUCACAUACUUACAGAUUUCCACUUAACAAUUUUUUAGACAUACUUGGUGAGGUAAGUGCAGUCAGGAGCACAAUCAACGACCGUUCACAGGGGUCUCAACAUGUAAUGCGCUUACUCUACGUCUAGAGAGGGAUGUAACCCUCUGUGUCAGUAUAUUUGACUCCUUAGCUAUUUCCUUUCAUAAAUAAUUUUAAAGCUACAGAAGUGAGCCAAAAAUUGUCCUUGCCACCAGCAUUAAUCCAAAGAUAGUUGGAGGUUGUAAAUUUUACUAUGUGUAGUUUAUUCAUUUUAAUAUAGCUUUGGAGUAAUGCAUUGCAUAUAAUUUGUUUUUGACCGGAUAUAACUUCACAUAAAUUUGAUGUAUUCUUUGUAGGCCGGCUAUUUCUGAGCUUAACAUCUGGAACACAUAUUUACUUUGACACUGAGACAGCUCUAGGAAAAGAGAAGUUUGACAAACUGAGCUGAUGGCACAGAGCAGACGGCGGCGUCGUCAAAGGUAGCUCAUGUCCAGAAAAUUGAGCCACUCACCAUCUCUGAGCUUAAUGAAUAUGUGAUCGCUGCCCAGCCUCAGGCAUAUUCACUUAUGUAAAUUGAAAACCUCUGGAAAUUACACUACUCAUUAUACAUGUUCUUUGACGUUCCACAGAUAGUUGAGUUUCUCUGCGUUCCAGCUCAAGCUAACCGAGUCUAAAGGACCUUAAAGCGUUCGCAGAAGCAAUAGAUGUGGUUAGAGACAAAGGUGUUGCUAUGGCUGUGGCUGUGGCGUCCGCCGAAGACAUUGAUGCGGCGAACGUGCACGUCCAAACUUUUUCAGAGGUGAAGAAAGCUCUCUAAGCUGAUAAGUUUUACUGUAAUAAGAUUGAGAAUCUCUAUUAGAUUUGGUUCUCUGCUGCGAGGGAGUGUAUUGGCAAAGCUAAUAUAUUAAACGUGCGUAAAAAACUUUGUAGAAUAUGAGAGCGUAAAAAACUUGGUAGAAUUGCACUCAGAAAUUUCACCGUUGGAAUUUUGCUCGAAAGCUUACCAAAAAACUAUUUGAUGUAAUAACUCUGUAAUACUAAAUAAAUUUUCAAAAUAAUUCUGGGCGAAACUUUUCUAAAUCUACAUUUAAAUCUAAAUAACUUAACCUAAUAAUUUUACCAAAAGUUAACAACUUGCAUCAAUAUCAAUACAUAUUUUAAUUUUAAAACAAACAUACUUAAAUAGUUACAUAUUCAGAUAUCUUUAAUUAGUAUAUAUAUCUUUAACUUACGGCAUAUUUAUUAAUUUAGAUUUUUUUUUGUAAUUUAAAAUCUUUUUCCUUUAAUGUGUCCUAUAUAUAUUAAUUUUUAAUAUCAAUUUUCAAGUGAAUAAUUAUCCUUAAACAGUACUUUUCUUAGGGUUUGCGGGCUUAAAGAAAUGUUUGAAAAUAUAGUAUUAAAUAUUUUUUUUACCAGCCAAAAAUUUAUUAUUAAUUAGCAUCAGUUAAAAUAUUAUAUAGAUUUUAUCCAAAAAUGACACAAACGUUAAUUUUUAUUCAAUUUUGAUUAAUUUUAAAAAAAGAGUUUCAUUCAAAAAUGACACAAACGUUAUACACACAGAUCAUCAAAAACAAAAUAAAUAAUCAAUAAGUGUAUGCCAAUUGAACGUUAAACAAUUUCCGCGCGUAGCGCGGACAUCGAA